CCUACGGGUGGCAGCAGUGAGGAAUAUUGGUCAAUGGGCGAGAGCCUGAACCAGCCAAGUCGCGUGAGGGAGUACUGCCCUAUGGGUUGUAAACCUCUUUUGUCGGGGAGCAAAAGCCGGACGUGUCCGGCUGUGAGAGUACCCGAAGAAAAAGCAUCGGCUAACUCCGUGCCAGCAGCCGCGGUAAUACGGAGGAUGCGAGCGUUAUCCGGAUUUAUUGGGUUUAAAGGGUGUGUAGCCGGGUUGACAAGUCAGAUGUGAAAUCCUGCGGCUUAACCGCAGAACUGCAUUUGAAACUGUUGAUCUUGAGUACUGGAGAGGCAGACGGAAUUCCUAGUGUAGCGGUGAAAUGCGUAGAUAUUAGGAGGAACACCAGUGGCGAAGGCGGUCUGCUGGACAGCAACUGACGGUGAGGCGCGAAAGCGUGGGGAGCAAACAGGAUUAGAUACCCGAGUAGUC
rnacentral:rRNA from 1 species